rnacentral:rRNA from 1 species
UACGGAGGAUGCGAGCGUUAUCCGGAUUUAUUGGGUUUAAAGGGUGCGCAGGCGGAAUGUCAAGUCAGCGGUAAAAUUUCGGGGCUCAACCCCGUCGUGCCGUUGAAACUGGCGUUCUUGAGUGAGCGAGAAGUAUGCGGAAUGCGCGGUGUAGCGGUGAAAUGCAUAGAUAUCACACAGAACACCGAUUGCGAAGGCAUCUGACGAAUCGGAGAUUGACGCUGAUGCACGAAAGCGUGGGUAUCGAACAGG